AGGUAAAUUGGGAAGGUUUCACAAAUUUUUUUUUGUGAUCCCCUUUUUUCCCUAUAAGGAUUCCUCAGAGGAAAAACGGACUCGUAACAAACAUGGCGAAAUCCGCAAGAGUGCGUUCACAAAUAAGGAGGGGGUACGCGUCAAUCACUUGCUCUAUUAACGAGGGGCCACCCUAAAUCGUGUACGCAUCACCGUGUUCCGUGUAUCGCAUCACCCUAAAGCGUGUACUCUAACCGUGUAUUUGCUCGACUCCGCCCCAUGGAGGAGGGGCUUGAGGGCAGGCUGUACACGAUUUAGGUAGUAGCAGACGACAGUGAAAAUUUUCUAAAUCGUGUACGUAUAGCCGUGUACGCAUCACCGUGUACGUGUAGUGGGCAUAUCGGGAGACGAAAAAAAAUCCACUAUCGAAAUUUAAUUUCCUUUGUUUCAUUUUUCUUUGCAACAACUGAAAGAUUUGUGUAGGAAAUGUUGGUGACAUGGAUCGAUUAACAUAGUUAAUUGAGCCUUCGAUUGGUAACAGCAGAACAGCCGACAGUCUGUCAGAGGGAUAAACGUAUUUGCGAGGAAGGAUUGGUUUCGGGAUAGGGAGCCCUCAGCAAAUACAACAAUGGGCAGAUAUUCAGGUUGUAGCACAAAACUUGAUAUUUAGUACAACCGUGAUUCUUCACAAACACCUAUACAGUAUGGAAAGCUUGACAGGCAAAUGAGGAUGAGUAAAAAGGCCAAAUGUGAGACAUGGAAAAGGUCUGACAUAAUGGGCAUUUUGUUCACGCAGAUUUGGAACUUCAAAAAGAAAUCUGUUCUCAGUGAAAAGAUGAGAACUAUCUAUUGUGCAACAUUACAGAAUCCAAAGAUUCCUUACAGGUGACAAAGGUUAAUAUGGUCAUCUAGCUUCCACCUCCAUGUAUUGUACUGUACUCCAUUUAUCCAAAAUCCAUAUGUCAGCCGACUUACCUUCCUGGUUGCAAUGAAGAAGAAUCAUUAGUCGAAAGUAUUAAAAGAAGAUACCAUAUUGUGUGUUUAUUUUGAUAUAUCUCCUUACAGAUGAAGAGGUUAACAUGGUCAUCAGGCAUCCACCUCCAUGUACUGUACUGUAUUCCUUUUAUGUGAAAACCAUAUGUCAGCUGACUUGCCUUUCUGGUUGCCAUGAAGAAGAACGAUUAGAGUCAAAAUUAUUAAAUGUUGAUGCCAUAUUGUGGGUUCCUUUUGAAAUAUCUUUUUUCACAUUUCUUUAAGUAUUUACCCUAAUUUUCCUGUAACCACGGUGACUUUUGGUUACGGUUUAUUAAGAGAUCACUUGAUGAUACCCGGGAAAAGCAAUCACUACUAGGACGGAAAAGCACAGUACACCGGUCACAGUGUAAUAAUUUGUUUAGGAUGCCGACUGGGCUAAUUCCGCAUUUUUGUUGUUACAUUUCCUAUACUGCAGAGUAUAGUUUGACAGAUGUAUUCAAUCACUAUCACAGCCCACGCAUGAAUUUCAGCAAUAUCUGUGUCGUAGUCAUUGACGACAAUAGCCCUCCCCAAUCUUCUUCCAUUCUACUAUUUCACCUCUAUUCCAUUGAUUCGAAGUUCAUUCCAACAGAAACGGUCUCACGUGCGAAAAUUUUCUAUGCAGCGCAACGGAUCACACAGAGCUGGGACAAGUGAACUUCAAACCGGACGAGACCUAACGAGGAAACAUAAGAAACGGGAAAAGAGGAAUUAUUUUGCAAACAAGAAUGAUAAUUUUUUUAAAUUUCACAUCUUGUAAACUAUCCAAAUCUCACACACCUUAGGGUUUUAUUCUGUUAUAAGUUUACUGCAAUUUACACAUAGGAUAUUUUACAAUUGCAUUUUGUGUGUAUAUUGGAGUAGGUCUUUCAUAGUAUAAAACCCCAAGCCAUGUGAUUUAUUCCCUAUCUGGAAAACACAAAAUUUAAAAGAUGUGAAAUUUAAAAAUAUGGAUCAUUGUUUGCUAAUGUCUGACACGAUUUCUAUCUAUAACGAAAACGAUCUGCCUCGUAUGGAGAUCGAAGGAAAAUGUUCUGCUACGAAGGCUUCGCGAUCUAGACAGCUUUUUUCUCUGCAUUUGAUCAACCUGAACGUAAAAUCAAGUUUUGGCAAAAUUGAGAAAAAAGUUUUCUAUCUUGGGAGUUUAAACUGGCUGUUAAGGAAGUUAGAUACGAUGCCGAAGCUUAUGUCAUGACAACGGGUAAAUGUAGAAAAGCAAGUCUUCGGCUAAAAGAUUGCCUUGAAAUCUUUAGCCUUAUUGAACAUUAGGUAUUGUGUUACAAUUGAAGAGCGUGUAAGAGCAACCUAAAAUUUGUGAUCGUUCGUACGUCAUCGAUACGGGACAAGCUUCACGCAUUCGCUGUAUUUCUUCCCCGUGGAUUAAAUAUGGCCCCUUAUUUAUUUGAUCCAAGUCCACUAUACCCGUUAAUGCUUUCAUCAGUGCCUGUAUGAAGAAGUCGGUGGUGGAUACUGUAAAAGAUUUUAUAAUCGUAAUCAAUCGACAGAGGAUAUUGAUGGAGGUCAGGUGUAAACAGUAACUGAAAUUCGUUGGAGGAGGGACCGAAGGUUUCCAGAUUCUUUUAUUUUCCCACGUGUUUUGGUAUUUUUACACAUAAAAAUUAAGUGCAUAUCUGGGCUCCCUUCUUUUCUGUGGCCCCGUUUCCCCUUGACUCGUAAUAAGCCCGUAG